rfam:Medicago truncatula strain A17 chromosome 3, whole genome shotgun sequence.
UUUCUGAUUUUCAGAAAAAUGGUGGGUUUGUUGUAAUUGGGCAGCGGCCAGACAACCGUAGAGAUGGAAUCCACAGAUCUUGAGUUUUUUCUCUCUUACUUCUACUAAUUCCAUCUCACCUUU